CAAGGAUUAAUUGUCUCAAAAGAUAUCAUGAAUAACCCUUAUCACUCCCAAAAUCUCAUUAGUAGUUCUUCUUACUGUCUGCCAUACAACUCUUUUGAUGUUGGUUUGGAGAAUUUGGUAUUGAAUCAACUAAUAAUCCCCUAUUUGAUACGAGUGAGUGAGAGUAACAAUAGAAUUCUGAUCUUGACCCAAAUUGACUCACUGGUUCCCUGUGCUACUUAUUCUUUGUUCUGGAUUACUACAGAAAACAGUAAACAUCUCAAAUAAAUUUGAGGAUUGUGCAUGAAAAAACAAAGUUUUUCCUUGCAGAAAUAACUUGAAAGGUGUGAUCAGCAUCAUAAAAACUUAAGAAAAAUGUUUUUCUUCAAAGAAGGAGUAGUUUACCAUUUGAAUCAGAAAAUCAUGCCAAGUGGAUCUGAAGAUAUAACUGUUUUCAGUUCUUAAUAACUCAUUUUCCUGCCUAUAUAAAGAAUUUGUUUUCACUCCGGUCCUCUUCCCAUCAUCGUCGUAGCAACUGCGUUCUUUCAUUAAGUAAACCUAAAAAACUACCUAUGGUCUCAACUUAAGAUUAAGAAUUUGUAAAUAGUAUUUUCUUUUCUUUACUUUUGUGUGUUUAUCAUCAUUAUUAUUAUUACUAUUAACAUUAUUUUAAAUAAAUAUAUUUAUAUAUCACUUUUUUAUGUAGUCUCAGCUCAAAGAUAUCAGCUUGUUAGCUACUCUAAAAUUUGAGUAUAAUCAAGUUUUUGUUAUGUGUUAUGUUAUGUUAUGUUAUGUUACUAGUACUUGCCACAGAAGCUAUGUCUCUGGGUAACUAAGAGAAUCAAGCAACACCCUUGGCCUUUCCAUCUUGACCUGUACAGUGUUUUAAAGUGAUAGACUGCACCACAAAUAAUUGUAGAGAAAAUUAAACAUCUAAGGAAAAGAAUACACAAACUAAUAUAUUAAGAACAAAGGAAAAUGUUAGUUAUAUCACAUGACCAUAAGCAUUGAAAAACCAUAGCUUAGAUCUUAAUCAAGCAUGUAUGUCUAAAUUCAUGUUUCAUUCUCCAUUUACAGCCAACCAAUGAUGGUGAAAAAAACCUAAGGAAAAUAAUUAUGAACUGGCUGUCAAAAAGAUGCAAGGUGAUACCACAAGAACUAUAAAAACUGGAGGACCCAAGACUUUCAUGGUGCCAACAUUUUUAAGUUUUUACUAUAUAUUAGGCAACUGAAGUAUUUCAAAUGAUGUCUUGCAUUACAAGGUUUUGAGAAAGACAAGGUUUUGUGUCAUUUGUAUCAUCAAUAUUGUUUUAAGUUUGCAAAGGGCAAAAGAUGUACACUUGUGAUAUAAAUUAAAACAGUAACCAGCAUUAUGAUGCCGUCUGAUGCAGCAUGAACAUACUUUUACUUUCUCUGCAGAAGUAACCUUGCAACACUGUUACCUUUUUGUUCUGUAAGUAAUUAACUAUAUUGAAAUGUAACAAAGAUUUCUUAGAUUCAUUUUACAGCUUUUCAUAAAGACAAUGGUUUGCCCUAUUCUUAUCACUAUCAUUGUAAGCUAGUUUGAGAUUUAAAACUUAACUUUCUGGGUUGCAGUCUAAUACAGUGUGAAUUUAUACUUGCUUGCUUUACAGAGGUAAUCUAUCAUCGCAAGAUAUUUCCUUGUGCAACCCAAAGCACAAAUGUUUACAAAGAUGAUGAAAUAAUCAUCACCAGUUCACACACCUAUCACGCUUUCAAUAUCCAGAGAAGGAAAAUUGAACAAAAAACCUUCAGCAACAACAAUAACAACAACAGCAAUCCUUAACCUUUUGACCCUCUUCUCUGAACGAGAGAUAUAGUGCUUACAUCCGAGAAGAAGUGGAUUUAUGAUGCAAAACACCGAAGGCAGGGUUUAAUUCAGAGCGACUGAGGUGUUACUCAGUUGUUAAGGCUUCGCUCAAAAAUUUCGAGUGCCUAUGUUUGCUGUCGUUAUUUUUGUUUCG